UUUGUAAUGACUAAUUCUUUAAUUACUCAGCAUCAUUUCUACUUGAGAAAAGAACAACUUCAUCCAAUGUUAGUGUGAAUAAAAUAGCCUUGAACAGCC